rnacentral:rRNA from 1 species
UACGGGGGGGUAAGCGUUGUUCGGAAUUACUGGGCGUAAAGGGCUCGUAGGCGGCCAACUAAGUCAGACGUGAAAUCCCUCGGCUUAACCGGGGAACUGCGUCUGAUACUGGAUGGCUUGAGUUUGGGAGAGGGAUGCGGAAUUCCAGGUGUAGCGGUGAAAUGCGUAGAUAUCUGGAGGAACACCGGUGGCGAAGGCGGCAUCCUGGACCGGUAUUGACGCUGAGGCGCGAAAGCCAGGGGAGCAAACGGG